CUGUUCCGUCCACGUUCUCGGAAUCCGACGGCGGUGCCAACGCUGAACCAUCGCGCAGCGAAGCGUCGAGAAGGCAGAACCAGCUUAGUUGGAACGCCGGAGGAAUAGAUUCGCAGAACGAGCAACAGCAACACCGUCACUGCAUGAGGUAUGUUGUGAUCACCCUGAGCAGGUGAAAAGGCUUGAGAGAAAAAUUGAACAGCUAAAACACAAGAAUGAUGAACUGCAACAAAUGCUAUAGUGUUGCAACACACUGUGAAAACACUGGAGCACGCCAUAAAGGACCUGAGAAGCUCGAGAGGCAGGGCAGCACGCGUGAACUCA